rnacentral:lncRNA from 1 species
UGAAAAGAAUACUCAUCUAUCCACAAAUAUUCAUGUUAUCCUAAUUUCUAAAUCACAAACCCAAAUCUACAAUAUUUCUCAAAAAAUGAAAACUUUUCAAAAAUAGCAGUUUUUAAGAAAAUUAUUUAAAAAUACAACCUAUUCAUAAAUACUCUGAAAAAAUACUCAAAUAUCCACGAAUAUUCUUGUUAUCCUAAUUUCUAAUCACAAACACAAAUCUACAAUAUUUCUCAAAAAAGUGAAAACUUUCCAAAAAUGACAAUUUUUACAAAAAUGAUUAAAAAUACAACAUAUUGGUGAAAAAUUCUGAAAGAAUACUCAUCUAUCCAUAAAAUUCUUGUUAUCCUAAUUUCUAAAUCACAAACCCAAAUCUACAAUAUUUCUCAAACCAUAUCUCCAUUGCUAUUUUGUUGUACAACCUAAUGUUAUUUUGUAUAGAAAGCUAUAAGCCUAAAUAUAACGUUGAGAAGUAAAGGAAAGCAUUAUCUACUCC